rnacentral:rRNA from 1 species
GAUGAACGCUGGCGGCGUGCCUAAUACAUGCAAGUCGAGCGAACAGAUGAGGAGCUUGCUCCUCUGACGUUAGCGGCGGACGGGUGAGUAACACGUGGAUAACCUACCUAUAAGACUGGGAUAACUUCGGGAAACCGGAGCUAAUACCGGAUAAUAUAUUGAACCGCAUGGUUCAAUAGUGAAAGACGGUUUUGCUGUCACUUAUAGAUGGAUCCGGGCCUCUGUAGCUAGUUGGUAAGGUAACGGCUUACCAAGGGAACGAUGCGUAGCCGACCUGUCAGGGUGAUCGCCCACACUGGAACGUAGACGCGGUCCAGACUCCUACGGGAGGCACCAGUAGGGAAUCUUCGGCAAUGGGCGAAAGCCUGACGGAGCAACGCGGCGUGAGUGAUGAAGGUCUUCGGAUCGUAAAACUCGGUUAUUGGGGAAGAACAAAUGUGUAAGUAACUAUGCACGUCUUGACGGUACCUAAUCAGAAAGCCACGGCUAACUACGUG